AUUGAACGCUGGCGGCAGGCCUAACACAUGCAAGUCGAGCGGAGCGGCAGCGGCGUGCGUGAUGCCUAGGACUCUGCCUGGUAGUGGGGGAUAACGUCCGGAACCGGGCGCUAAUACCGACUCCUCUAAGCUUAGCCUAGGUCGGAUUAGCUAGUGGGUGGGGUAGUGGCCUACCAAGGCGACGAUCCGUAACUGGUCUGAGAGGAUGAUCAGUCACACUGGAACUGAGACACGGUCCAGACGCCUACGGGAGGCAGCAGUGGGGAAUAUUGGACAAUGGGCGAAAGCCUGAGCCAGCCAUGCCGCGUGUGUGAAGAAGGUCUUCGGAUUGUAAAGCACUUUAAGUUGGGAGGCGUUACCAACAGAAGAAGCACCGGCUAACUCCGUGCCAGCAGCCGCGGUAAUAC
rnacentral:rRNA from 1 species